rnacentral:rRNA from 1 species
GACGAACGCUGGCGGCGUGCCUAAUACAUGCAAGUUGAGCGCUGAAGGCUGGUCCUUGUCCCCACUGGUUGAGCAGCGAACGGGUGAGUAACGCGGGGGGAAUCUGCCUUCGAGCGGGGGACAACAUUUGGAAACGAAUGCUAAUACCGCAUAAAAACUUUAAACACAAGUUUUAAGUUUGAAAGAUGCAAUUGCAUCACUCAAAGAUGAUCCCGCGUUGUAUUAGCUAGUUGGUGAGGUAAAGGCUCACCAAGGCGGAGAUACAUAGCCGACCUGAGAGGGGGAGCGGCCACAUUGGGACGGGGACACGGCCCGAAACACUGCGGGAGGCAGCAGUCGGGGAACUUCGGCCAUGGCCGCAAUGCUGAACGUUCAACCCUGGGUGAGUGAAGGAUGUUUUCGGAUCGUAAAACUCAUUUGGUAGAGAAGAUCGUUAGGGAGAGUGGAAAGCUCAUAAAGUGACGGUACCUACCCAGAAAGGUACGGCUAACUACGUG